GUAACUUUUUUGAUUGACAAUUUGUCAUCAUGACGGACAAAAAGUUCCCGCGUAGCGCGAAGAUACGAAUUAAUUGUAAAUAUAAAUAAAAACUUGGAAUUAAUGUUUUUAUGAGACAAAACAGCCGUCCAAAACUGUGGUAGUUAUCGAACAUAAAACGUGCUGAUCAACAACUGUGAAGUUUUUUUUCCUGUAAAGCGGGAAACUUUUGAAAAAAUUGAUUUUGCUGAACUUUACUGAAGCCGAAAAUUUGAAGAUUAAGAAACAUGGAAAGAAAAUAUCGUGAGAAGACCUGCAUAUCUAGAUGUGUGAUCCUACUAACCUGCAAAGGACCAGCGGAAUGGUGGUUGUGCGGUCAUGAAGAAUGCGUCAUGUAUGCGUAGAGGUCACUCUCGGUGAAGAAAAACAUUUUUUUGGAGCGGCGCUGUGCUAACCACAACUCUCGUUGCAUAGAACGUAAAGCUCUCGGUCGUUCGUUUUGUCCAGCUACACGCAACCUAGAAUAACCCUCCGGCUAAAUCCGUACGACAUAAGAUUAACUGGCAAUCUGACAUUAACAAACAGUCCUGUAAAGGUAAGCGUCCACCUAAUCGUACAUAUCAGACCAAACGGAUAUUCUUAAAUGUAUACUUAGAGAAACGGUGUCGGCAAUGUCGAUGAAGUGGACGCACUUGUGUGAAUUUCUAUUCAAAGAAUACCUACUGAAUGCGAUGCGUCCUUUGCAUAAUAUGCCGAAUGGUGAAAUUACCUUAAAAGAGUGAAAAAUAUGUGAGUAGGUACUUACUAUUAUGAAAUAAA